rfam:Desulfobacula toluolica Tol2 complete genome
CCCGGCAUUCUCCUGCCGGUACCCUAGGAGGCAUGCUUCACCGGUGCAUUCGGUGUUGGUAUGAAGCCCUUUCGACAAAGUACCAAAUUCUGCGCAAGCAGAAGGGGUGGAAAUCGUGAGACAGACACCCUCCGGGAAGCCUUAUCCGGGUGAGGGC